rnacentral:rRNA from 1 species
UGGGGAAUAUUGGACAAGGGGGGGAACCCUGAUCCAGCCAUGCCGCGUGUGUGAAGAAGGCCUUAUGGUUGUAAAGCACUUUAAGCGAGGAGGAGGGUACUGGUAUUAAUACUACCAGGUACUGGACGUUACUCGCAGAAUAAGCACCGGCUAACUCUGUGCCAGCAUCCGCGGUAAUACAGAGGGUGCAAGCGUUAAUCGGAAUUACUGGGCGUAAAGCGCGCGUAGGUGGUUCGUUAAGUUGAAUGUGAAAGCCCCGGGCUCAACCUGAGAACUGCAUCCAAAACUGGCGAGCUAGAGUAGGGCAGAGGGUGGUGGAAUUUCCUGUGUAGCGGUGAAAUGCGUAGAUAUAGGAAGGAACACCAGUGGCGAAGGCGACCACCUGGGCUCAUACUGACACUGAGGUGCGAAAGCGUGGGGAGCAAACAGG